rnacentral:tRNA from 1 species
GCUCCCAUGGCGUAGUGGUCACUGCGCUCGCCUUGCACGCGGGAGACCCGGGUUCGAUUCCCGAUGGGGUCA